AGGAGACACUAUAUUUACUUUUGGGUUGGACUGUAGAGUCCUUGGUGGUCUCUGAUCUUGGAACAAGGAACAACUAGAGAGGACACAUUAAUACUAUCAACAAUAUCUUCAACAUAGUUGGCUAAUGAAAUAUCUGCAAGCAAACUUCCAAACUCAGAGAGCACGAACAAAUCUUUUCAUUUGAGUUUGACUCCUAGAACUAUUAAAGCUGUCUCUUUGUUAAAUAUGAGGAUCCACAACAUAGAGUAACUUCAGGUUUUAAGGUGCUGCAGACAUUCCAGUUGUGAUGUACUCUGGCCUUCAAGAUGGAGGACUUUCCUCAGGAAAGAUAGUUGUGCUCAACAGCAGAGUAUUUUCAACACUUAAGGACGAUGAAACCUGAAGCAGGUGGCAGCACCUUUAUGACCUCGACUAAUUUCAAAACAGCGGAAUACAGAUAAAACUUGCUAUUUUGAUGGGACACGGCUAGGAAAAAAACCUAAAGAUAUCUUCAGUUUAGCGCUACAUUAUCUAAAAAAAGAAGGGCAACAAGAUGACAUCGUAUGCUGCCUAGAAAUGCACAGAAAUUACUACCAGGUGGACCCAACUCAGAACAUUUCCAAAGGAGAUUCAAUAAAUUGAUAGAGAAUAAGUUUAUUAAAGUUUGCAUGCUUGUAAAUGCUACUGAGAGUACAAAAACACCAUUUGCUCUCGUGGCAUUCUUCUAUUAUACUGUUCUACUAGCCACUCUGAAACAGAACGCUGGACUAGAAAACAUUAGCAAUAAUCUAUCAGGGUUUUCUGUAUGUCCUUCAUCGCUAAAUCCUGAUCAGCAUUAGGCAAGUCACUGUAGUGGUAUCAUUACGGUACUAGAGGAGGCACUAAAUGGGUCUUGUUUAAUAUAAACAUGAAUUACUUUGAGUAUUUCCACAACCUCACACAGCAGUAAUGUGAGGGUCAAUUUCAUUACCUCACACAAUCAUUUAUCUUAUCUAAAAUGUUCUGUUCGUAUUUUGAAUUUACAUUUACUCAACUAAUAUCUACCCACUUAAUCUGACAAUAUUUUGUCAACAAUCAGCUUGAAUAUUUGAAAAUAGCAGUAACUCCUGGCUGCAUUUAGGAAAUUCUGUGCAUAUAUCUGAAAGAUAUAGAUGAACUUUUAAGGUCAGUACAUACUGAAAAUAUAUAUACAACACUAAAUAAUAAUAAUGCAUAUAUUUGAUUCAAAUCAAAGCACUUUGAAUUUUCAAAAAUCUUGAUUUUAAUUAUAAAAUAACAUAUUUAGAAAUGUCCUUUAAAUUUCUUAUUUUUAACUUAUUAUAUUUUGCUUAUCUUGGUUAUUGUUAUUGUGUCUUGUAUGUGAUUGUUGGGUUUUUUAAAAUUGCACCAUAAUAUUUUAACUAUAAUUUAUCCCGUCUAAGUCAGCAAGCGCCUAUUCUGAAUUGUAACAGGAUUGAAGUAUAUUUAACUUGGCUCAUUAAGUUGGAAAAUGUUGGUCUUCCCAGAAAUUCUUAGGGUCUAAAAAGAUUCACAUAUACAGAGUGGCAGGUAUUUUGAAAGCCUUUUUUAAAAAUCACUGAGGAGACCCUGAAAAUGAACUUAAACUCAAUAAAUAUAGCAAAGCUCUGGCACAAAAAAUGCCACUGAGUUAGCUCCCUCAAGUAUUUAUAUUCUGCACUGACUAGAAUGGCUGGAUUUUUGAAAAAGGAGCACUGUGUACCAUGCAUCAAACACAGCCUGGUUAUCUGAAGACUAUUUCUGUCUCAAGAGAUCAGUCACAGGUGCUCCAAGUCAGAUGGACAAUUUGUGUCGCCAAUCAUUAAGUGCCUUAUAGUGGCUGGAAAUAUGAAAACCACCUCUGAAGAGGGUGAACAUAACAUAGUUAAACUAUCGCAGAACCUCUAUCUGUUUCGGCUAAGUUUCACCUUAUUGUUUUUCAGUUAUUACUACAGGUAGUCCUCAACUUACAACAGUUCAUUUACUGACCGUUCAAAGUUACAAAGACACGAAAAAAGUGACAUGACCAUUUUUCACACUUAUGACCAUUGCAGCAUCCCCAUGGUCAUGUGAUCAACAUUCAGGUGCUUGGCAACUGACUCAUAUUUAUGACGGUUGCAGUGUCCUGUGGUAGUGUGACCAUAUUUUGCAAUUUUCUGACAAGCAAAGUCAAUGGAGAGGCCAGAUUCACUUAACAAACAUGUCACUAAUUUAACAACUGCAGUGAUUCACUUAACAACUGUGGCAAGAAAGGUCGUAAAAUGGGAAAAAUUCACUUAACAAAUGUCUCACUUAGCAACAGAAAUUUUAGGCUCAAUUGUGGUCUUAAAUUGAGGACUACCUGUACUUCAGUAUAAACUCAUGUUAAGAUUGAAGAUUCCUCUGAAGAGCUACUCGUCUUGCUUCACAAAUCUGCUCUUGCAUUUUUGCUUUACUGUGCAAAUACUCUUGUUCCUUUCCCUCCAUUAGAGGUAGUUCUCCACUUACAACCAUUCAUUUUGUGACCAAGGUUACCACAGCACUUAAAAACAUUGACUUGUGACCAGUUUUCUUACACUUACAACCACAGUAGCACUCCUAUGGUCACCAGAUCAAAAUUUGGCCAUUUGGCAACUGAGACGUAUUUAGAAAAGUUGGGACUGUUCUGGAGUCAUGUGAUCAUCAUCUGUAACUUUCCCAGACAGCUUCUGACAAGUGAAGUCAAUGGGGGAAACCAGAUUUGCUUAACAACUACAUGAUUCAUUUAACAACUAGAGUGAUUCGUUACAGCUGUAGCAAAAAAAAGUUUUUAAAAUGAGAUUUGGGGCUAAAAGGCAAAAGCAGAGCAGUAUGCUCCGUCCCAUAAUUGGGUAGACCAGGUUGCCCUGAUAAAAAAACACUUAAU